rnacentral:rRNA from 1 species
CGAAAGCCCCGCAAGGGGUAAGUAGAGUGGCAAACGGGUGAGUAACACGUGGGUGACCUACCUUCGAGUGGGGGAUAACCUUCCGAAAGGAGGGCUAAUACCGCAUGACAUCCCAUGUUUGGAUACAUGGACAUCAAAGCCGGGGAUCGCAAGACCUGGCGCUUGAAGAGGGACCUGCGCCCGAUUAGCUAGUUGGUGGGGUAACGGCCCACCAAGGCUUCGAUCGGUAUCCGGCCUGAGAGGGCGGACGGACACACUGGAACUGAGACACGGUCCAGACUCCUACGGGAGGCAGCAGUGGGGAAUUGUUCGCAAUGGGCGCAAGCCUGACGACGCAACGCCGCGUGGAGGAUGAAGACUUUCGGGUCGUAAACUCCUUUCGACCGAGAUGAAUAGCCCGGGAUUUAAUACGUCCCGGGCCUGACAGUAUCGAGGGAAGAAGCCCCGGCUAACUCCGUGCCAGCAGCCGCGGUAAUACGGGGGGGGCAAGCGUUGUUCGGAAUUACUGGGCGUAAAGGGUUCGUAGGUGGCUUGCUAAGUCAGACGUGAAAUCCCUCAGCUUAACUGGGGAACUGCGUCUGAGACUGGCGAGCUUGAGGGCAGGAGAGGAACGCGGAAUUCCAGGUGUAGCGGUGAAAUGCGUAGAUAUCUGGAGGAACACCGGUGGCGAAGGCGGCGUUCUGGACUGCAUCUGACACUGAGGAACGAAAGCCAGGGGAGCAAACGGGAUUAGAUACCCCGGUAGUCCUG